AUGCUGUUGUCAGGCGGCUUCUCCUGGGUGUACCUUGCGCUGCUGUUGGCCUUGCUCACCUUCAACUCCGUCAUGGCGGUGUACCACUCCAAGGGCGACGCGGCCAUUGUCGCCUUCGUCGCCACCUCCUACCUCGACCUGGUGCUGCUCUUCUGCUGCCUCUGGCUCUACGACAGAGCGGUGGCGGGGUCGGCGUGGAGGAACCGGCUCAAGGCGUCGGUGUGGACUCUCACCACACUGCUCACCUUCUCCUUCGCCUACAUGGUCAUGGGCACGGCCGGCCUCACCCUCCCCGUCGCGCUGCUCGUGUGGUUCAUCGCCGCGGCGACCGGGAUCGGUGCCUUCUCCGCCUUCUUCGAGCAGGGCAGAAUCAACCCAGCUCCGGGUGAACCCAUGUUGCCGUCACCGGUGUAG
rnacentral:rRNA from 1 species